CCUACGGGUGGCAGCAGUGGGGAAUAUUGCGCAAUGGGCGAAAGCCUGACGCAGCGACGCCGCGUGAGGGAUGAAGGUCUUCGGAUUGUAAACCUCUGUCAGCAGGGAAGAACGGUCACUGUGCUAAUCAGCAGUGAAUUGACGGUACCUGCAAAGGAAGCACCGUCUAACUCCGUGCCAGCAGCCGCUGUAAUACGGAGGGUGCGAGCGUUAAUCGGAAUUACUGGGCGUAAAGGGCUCGUAGGCGGUAUGUCAAGUCAAGGGGGAAAUCCCCGCGCUCAACGUGGGAACUGCCGUUGAAACUGGCAAACUGGAGUGUGUGAGAGGAUAGUGGAAUUCCAGGUGUAGGAGUGAAAUCCGUAGAUAUCUGGAGGAACAUCAGUGGCGAAGGCGACUAUCUGGCACAUAACUGACGCUGAGGAGCGAAAGCGUGGGUAGCAAACAGGAUUAGAUACCCUGGUAGUC
rnacentral:rRNA from 1 species